AACUUGCUUGUUCUUCGGAAAUAGGGUCUUGGAUGAUCUCGAAGAAGUAUCAGUAGUUCUCGGAAUAGGUUGUAGGAUGAUUCUCUUUUUAUUUUAAUAUCACAUACAUUGGAGUACACGCCAAACUUCAACAAUGAGUAAAGUUAGAAAAAUUCAAAUUUAAAUCAAGGAUUUCUUCCUCAAAAUAACGUUAAAAUCUCAAAAGAUGGAUGAAAAAUGUGCUUUAGGAGCUGAACUAUAAUAAUUGAUACUUUUGGAAGCAAACAAAACGGUUUAAGAUAAGAUUUUCACCAACAAAAAUCUCUGUCACAAUUUCUAGGUUAUGUUCUCUCGGUGAACUAAGAGAAUGUUAAAAUUAUCACAAUAUCUUUGGUAAAAGACUAGUUAUUGGUUGCAAAUGAGAUAUUCCUUGUAGGAAACAAGUUACUGCUGGCAAAAGACUAGCUACUGAUUAUGAACAAGUAUAUUGCUUGCAAAAGGUUAGAUAUUGCUUGGGAAAGACUAGAUACUGCUUGCAGUAGAUUAAAUAUCACUUGCAGAAGACUAGUUAGUGCUUGCAAAGAUGUAGGUACUACUGGCAGAAGACUAGAUACUGAUUAUAAAGUAAUAUAUUGUUUGCAGAUGAUUAGAUAUUGCUUAAUUAAUGAAGAAUUUUUUUUUCGUUUUAAAAUAAUUUUGUUUUUUGCUUUAUUUUUGAUUAAUCCAGUAUUAAUAGAUCCUGUAACAUAAUUAGUAUCCCAAUUAGUUUCAGUUAAUUAACAGUUUAGAUCAAAUGCUAUAAACGGUAUAGAUAACGUCAUCAUCUAUCUAUCGAAAUCCAAUACAACGACGACAUGUUUCCCAUCGAUUGUCAAUUUGUUAAACUAAAUCGAGCAGGAAUAAUGCGCCAUAAGUGGAAGAUAACGAGCCGUUCCUGUUGCAAGUACCUGACACGGUUCAUAAAAUACUUCCCCAUCAAUCAAUUCUAUUCUUUUUCGCGGAUAUCGAGUGAAUUUUUGUCUUUUGUGUCGAAAACGUGCGUUAUGAUUUUGAAAUUUUUUUUUUUUGGUAAAACGAUCAAUUAAAAAUGGAAUAUGAUAGUUAUAAUUGAAAUGGGUGUGUCGGUAAUGUAUUCGAUGUUAUAACAAAAGGGAAUUUGCCAAAAUAAACGUUCCAAUUAUGAAACGUUCACCGCAAUAAAGUCGAGUCGAAAAUAAUUAUCCACUCCACGGUAGUUGGAAAAAUUAAUAUUUAACGGUGCAUUUCCCUGUGAUGCUGUAACCGUUUUUCCAACUGGGGAACGGGUGCGACGAAAAUUAGAACAAAAACGAGCUCGGGGAAUGAAAAAAACUCUCAAAUUAUGGAAUUUAUGUGUGACCACUGCAUCCGAGGUAUUUUCCCUCGAAACUUAUACGAAUAAUAUUAAAAAAAAAUUUAACUCGAUUAUAUUUAUAUACUUACAUUUUAAGGUAUACAAUAUACAACAUCGUUUAAAGAACGUUUUCCGAAAUGCUAACGUUCCACUCAGUUGCGACAUACAAUAGAGUCAGGGAAAAGUUUAUGGGUGACAAGUGGUACUCGAAGGGUUUGACUCGAUCUCGCAGAUACGAUCGGAAAUAGAAAUCCAAUGGGGCACUUUUUCUGCAAUAUAAAGGGUCACUGUCGAAACGCCCCGAGCAAAUCUCCGAUAUAACGGUUAUUGAAUGGCGACGGAUUCUACGAGAACACGUUCCACCUGGAUUAUGAAUAGAUUGGGACCAGGAUUUUACGAUGUGCACGAGAGAAUUUACUUCUUUUUUUUUUUUUUUGUUAAUAACCGCUUUGCAAAGUUCAUUUUUAAUUAGAUGCCUUCUCUCGGAAAUUCCAAACUACAUUUUUCGAGAAUUAAUUUAAAAGGGGUUUGACUCGCUCAACUGAACCGAGUAUCCAAGGGAAAAGGAAACCGUACAAGUCGUUUCCGGAGGAAACGUCUCCGUCUGCAAAUUGCAGUUAAACAAUUUCGAACCGAGAUUGCAGAAACGGAGGAAAAACUGCGACGUUGAAGAUAUGAUAAUUUUAGUGGGGACGAAAAGUUUCAAAUUUAUUACACCCGGAUAGCUCAAUUUCAUUUCAAAAUUUUUUAUCGAGUUAAAAAAUAAAUUUUCAGCUUUUUUUGUGAUUUGAAAUAAUAAGAUUUUAUUUGAAACUCACCAACAAGGAACCAAAGAAGGGAUGAGAUCAAAUGUAAUUCCGUGGUAGCCACACCUCUCCGUCCAAUCUUGAGUUCAUUCAUGGAUCAGACUAAAUACUGUUUCUAGAAGACUAAAUACUGCUGGCAGAAGAUUUGACACUGUUUGCUGAAGAAGGUUAGAUAUUGCUUGGAGAAGAUUAGAUACUACUUGCAGUAUACUAAAUACUUAGAUAAAGGUAGGAGAAGACUAGUUAUUACUUACAAAAGACUAGAUAUCGCUUGCAAAGAUGUAGAUACUGCUAACAGAAGACUAGAUUCUGCUUCUAAACUAGUAUAUUGCUUGCAGUAGACAAAUUACUUAGACACUGCUAAUGGAAGACUAGUUACUACUUGCAGAAGACUAGAUAUUUCUUGUAGAAGAAUAGAUAUUGCAUGCAGAAAACUACUAUUUGCAUCGGAAUAGGUACUGAAAAUAUUGAAUUAAAGUACUUUUCAUUUACAAAAUUGUUUCUAGCUGUGGCAUAAGCCAUAAUUAAAGCUAAAUAUAUCUCUAAAUUUCAUUAAUAUUGUUAUUUAAAUCAUUUUAAUUGAAAUUUAAAAUAAAUUUGUUGUUAAGUGAUUUGAAAUGAUGAGAUUUUUUCGAUUUCGUUUGAA